rnacentral:lncRNA from 1 species
GAGAUUGUACUAGUUGCGAAAUAUUUAGCUUAAAAUUGAUUUAAUGUUAGAAUGGCUUAAAAUUGAUUUAAUGUUAGAAUGAAGGGUAAUUUAAAGUUGUUUGAAUGUCUAAUCCUUUAGGGAUCUUGAGGUAGUUUAGUCUAUCCACCUCCUUUUAUAUUAGAGUUGAAUAUCUUGUAUUCGCGUUAAUAAAGAGAUAUUGCUUAUAAAAAAAUAUAAAAAAUAUAAAAAAUAUAAAAAAAAUAAAUUGUAUUUUGAUAUUUCCUAUUACAAUUUUCAGCCUCCAUUCCAUAAAUUCCUAGAUCCUUCCCUCCCUAUCUACACUACUUUUCAUCUUUUUCUACUCUAAUGU